CGGCGGCAGCUGAUCUGCUGCCGCUGCAGCUUCCGCCUGUUGUUCACGGCCGCCUCCUGCCUCGGCCUCUUCCUCUCCCUUGCCUUGGAGAGCCCCCCUGAGAUGGAAUAUUGAAUCGAUCGAUCCAUCCUCCCCCUCUCCCUCUCGCUCUGCUCGCCGCCGCCGGGCUCGACCCUCCCUCCGGCGAGCGGUGGCGGAUCUGGCGGCCGUGAAAGGUCUGGUGGCUAGGUGGGGUUUCCGCGACACGCGUUUCAGUUCUGACGUCGAGAUCGCGGAGAAGCAUGGUGAUCCACGACAUGGCCCACCGCACAAAAUGCUCUGCCAUCCCGGAAGACAGUGUGUACGAGAUAUGUCUCCAUACCUAUGACCCGGCAGAUUAUGCUCGCAUGGGAGCAGUGUGCAAGGAAUGAAGCUCAACUCGUCCCCUAUGGCCUCACCUGCCAUUACUUGUUGCUCCCUGUGGUAUUCAGCCGUCUACUCUGAGCGCUCGAUGCGUAGUCACAAGGAAAACCAUCACCCUUCCUGCAAGCUGGAGCUUUUCUCGUAUGACCGCUGCAUCGACGAGUGGCCAUGUCCUCCUGAUGAUUCCAGUAGCUGGCGACAUCGAUCAAUACUGCUUCAUGUGGAUUACUCACAGCUGAUUGGAUACUCACAGCAAACCCUCCCUCGGUUGUCAGAGUAUGGCAAGAUGCAGCAUGGCAAUACCAGUUUCAGAGUUUGUGAGGAUGGGAGAGUUCUGGUUUGCAGGUUCUACAGUGAGGGCAUUAGUAGUGCGUCACCUAUUUUACGGAGCUAGGGCUGCCACAUAGGACGAAGACACAAGAAGAAUAAUAUUUAUCACAAGUCUCACAUUGCUAUGUAGCCUCAAAUAGGAGCCACACAAAAAAAAAUCAUUUCUCUCUCCCAUAUCCUCAGUCUGAUCCCCACCCAGUCCGCCCGCGCGCUUCUCCAUCUCCGCCCGCACGCCUCCCCUAUUCUCCGGCCGCCGCGCCUCCCCUUCCUCCUCCUGCGCGGCCGGUGAGAUUCCCCUUUGCGCGGCGCGGCGAACGAUGGCGGCGGCGUGAAGCGGCUCGGCGGACGGUGACGAUGGCACGGACGGCCUGAGCAGCAACGCCGACACCGGGCGGCCCAUGCGGCGACGACGCCAGCGGCAGAUCAGGAGCUCGACGGUGCUGGUCGGUGGGGCGGCUCGAGCGCCUCCCCUCCUCCUCCUCUUCUGGCCGCCGCAGAUCGAGGCGGCGCGGCAGCUCGAGCGCCUCCCCUCCUCCUCUUCCGGCCGGAUCCCCAUCCAUUCGGUGGCAGCAGCGUUGAAUCGGCGGGAGCGAGCUCGGCGAGGGACGGAGUGCGUGGAUCUGGCGGUGGGGGCCGAUGAGCUCGGCGAAGGACGGUGGACGCGGGUCGGGUGGUGAGGGACGACGGACGCGGGUUGGGCGGCGAGGGACAGCGGAGCUCCUUUCUCCCCGUCGGCGGCUGGUGAGCUUCCCCUUUGCGCCCGACAGUCCUCCUUCCUCCUCUGGCCGACGAGAUCGGCGGCGUGGAGCACAAGGAUGACCGUUCUCUCUCCUCCCUCUCUCAUCCUUGACGCGCCGUGGGUCCUACCUACGACCGAGGAACCCGUAGCCAAAGUUUGCUACGCGUUCCUAGGGAGGCCGCGCGGAUAGACGACGUGGAACGGAAUAUUCGUAUUUUUGUGCUGAGGCCAAAUGCCACAGAGAUGCACUGUGAAUGACCUGAGGAGGAUCGUCCGGGUCUCUAUGCUGCUGCACAAUAACCCCACAUGGCUGCAUACUCAGAUUAUUUGGCCUGACCUGGCCCUGUUUAGUUCCCAAAAACUUUUCACAAAAACAUCACAUCGAAUCUUUGGACACAUGUAUAGAGCAUUAAAUAUAGAUAAAAAGAAAAACUAAUUGCACAAUUUGUAUGUAAAUGGCGAGACGAAUCUUUUGAGCCUAAUUAGUCCAUGAUUAGCCAUAAGUGUUACAGUAACCUACAUGUGCUAAUGGCAGUUUAAUUAGGCUCAAAAAGUUCGUCUCGUAGUUUUCAGGCGAGUUAUGAAAUUAGUUUUUCCAUUCAUGUCUAAAAACCUCUUCCGACAUCCAGUUAAAUGUCUGAUGUAACACCUAAAAUUUUUUAUUUCACCAA